CCCGCGAGCAGGGCCGCCUCGGCCCUCCGCGCCGAAAUCCGCCGGCGCGGAAACUUAAAGGCCCGCCUUUCUGUCUUUCUCUCUGCCCUCCCUCUGUUGCAAACGAGCGGCGUCGAGGGAUCUUCCAAAUGCCGAGGGAUAAGAGCGAGCCUUGGAUCUUCAAAGUGAAAGCCAGAACUAGUAGCUGGUUUCACUUCAUAAAUGCAGCAGCAAGUUAUUCCCAGUCCAUCCUCUCCUCGUAUCAGGUACAGCUGCAAGUUGGAGGGACGUGCUUGUAGUAAGAUAAACAAGGAAUCAGUCUCUUGAAAAAGGUAACAUUUUAGGACUUCAGUUCUGGCUGAGCUCAGUGUCUAUUGAAAAAAACAUCUCAACCUCAGAUAACUACCAUGUUCCUCAGUCAGGUCUUGUUGUCAUGGUAGUGAUGUAUUUGAUCUAUAUUUAUAACAUAAGAUUUUGAAUAGAUUAUUUCUGCUUUUGGAGUAGAGGGGAAUGGGUGGCUAUUCCCAUUUAAAAAGUAUGGUUUAAAUGGUAUUUAUUUAAAAAAAAAAAAAAAACGCUGUUUCUUCAGGUAAGACACAAAAGCUAGAGAUAGUUACCUUUGCUUGCCAGUUUAAUGCUAGAAUGUGCUUGAACUUAUUGCUGAACAUGGCUUCCAGAUGUGCCAGCAGAGAGUGCCAUUGUUACAGGUUUUUGUAAAUCUUGCUACAUGUCCUUCUGCAUCUUUAGGAAGCCAGAAAUUUCUGUAAAUCUGGCCUUACGCUACUUUGGAAAACAUUUUUCGCAAGUUGUACCCACCAUUAAAAAGAUUGAUGUAGGAGAUUAAGCUAAAUGCACAAAACACUUUCAUUUUCUUUAUUUUCAAUCGAUACUGUAUGAAUACAAAGUUUCUAGAAAGCUACAAAAAUUCUACCACUUUAUCAAGAAGGCAUCAAAAUGUGUCACUUUGCAAAGACAUGAAAACACCUGCAGUAACCGACACAAAAAUAGCAUUUUUAGAGUGAUGAAAUAAUUGCACUUAACUGUCAUGGAUAUUAAAGUUAUCACACAUAUGUACCGCGAAAGCUAGAAUACAUUUUUUUUUUUUUUACAAAGCACUUUAUAAAAAAAUUCUCUGCACACAAAACCUAUAAUUUUCAUAUUACUAUCAUACUAAAGAUAAAUUCACUUUAAAGCCAACACUUAAAACAUUUUAAACAAAAAAAGGUACCAGUACCUACACACAGACAAUAACAAAUACAAGAAUACUGUACUGCCAAGAGGUUUGACUGAAACUCCUUUUGAAAGCUUCUGCAAAUAUGUUAAGAAAACAUUGGAGAACAUUCACUUUUUUCAAAGAGCCUUCCCUCCCUUGUCUAACCUAGAGGUACUUUAUCAUCAAAAGGCAAGUUCUACAUCAAAAGUUACCAGCAGCAGUACAAUAUUAAAGUAACCACUGACCAUAUAUGAAUAUGCUUAAGUCACAAACCCAUUUUAUACACAUUACACAAAUAAACAUAAAGUGAGAAUUCCA
rnacentral:lncRNA from 1 species